CACGUACUCCCUCCGUUCGGAAUUACUUGUCUCGGAAAUGGAUGUAUCUAGAAUUUCUAGAUACAUCCAUUUCCGAGACAAAUAAUUUCGAACGGAGGGAGUACCUU
rfam:Triticum urartu cultivar G1812 contig1169350, whole genome shotgun sequence.